AGAGUUUGAUUAUGGCUCAGAAUAAACGCUGGCGGCGUGCCUAACACAUGCAAGUUGAGCGGUAAGGCCCCUUCGGGGGUACACGAGCAGCGAACGGGUGAGUAUCGCGUGGGUAACCUACCCAGAAGUGGGGGAUAGCCUCGGGAAACCGGGGGUAAUACCGCAUAAGGUUUCGACGACAUAAGUCGAUGAGAGCAAAGGCGGGGAUCCUUCGGGACCUGUCGCUUCUGGAUGGGCCCGCGUCCGAUUAGCUAGUUGGUGAGGUAAUGGCUCACCAAGGCUGCGAUCGGUAGCCGGCCUGAGAGGGUGAACGGCCACAUUGGGACUGAGACACGGCCCAGACUCCUACGGGAGGCAGCAGUGGGGAAUCUUGGGCAAUGGGGGAAACCCUGACCCAGCGACGCCGCGUGGAGGAUGACGGCCUUCGGGUCGUAAACUCCUGUCAGGUGGGAAGAAAAGCUUGUCGGCUAAUACCCGGCAGGAAUUGACGGUACCAUCAAAGGAAGCCCCGGCUAACUCCGUGCCAGCAGCCGCGGUAAUACGGAGGGGGCAAGCGUUAUUCGGAUUUACUGGGCGUAAAGCGCACGUAGGUGGCAUGGUAAGUCACAGGUGAAAGCCCUCGGCUCAACCGAGGAACUGCCUGUGAAACUGUCUUGCUUGAGUCCGGGAGGGGGGAGCGGAAUUCCCAGUGUAGCGGUGAAAUGCGUAGAUAUUGGGAAGAACACCGGUGGCGAAGGCGGCUCCCUGGACCGGUACUGACACUGAGGUGCGAAAGCGUGGGUAGCAAACAGGAUUAGAUACCCUGGUAGUCCACGCCGUAAACGAUGGGCACUAGGUGCAGCGGGUGUCGA
rnacentral:rRNA from 1 species